ACGGCUCAUUUUGGAUGAACAGAUCUACUUCACUUAAACAAUUUUCCAACGUACCCUUCCAUGGCUGUUUUUGUAUCAAGUCUUUGAGUCCAUCUGAGAAAUUCUGAUUCAUCAGGUUAGGAUUUUCUAUUGAAUAAAAAAAAAAACCCAAGGACCAAAUGUGAAAAAAAAACAGUGAUGGACUACUGAUUGGCAGCAUGUUAGGAACGCCAGACCUACACCAGAAGAGUGCAUAGAUUCUGGCAUCUGAUUAAAAGGAAUGAGACAAACAGCAGACUGUCCAGUGAUUCUUCCUUCCUUCGUCUUCAAGAAAACUCUUUGCAUUCACUGAUCAUGUAUAACAAAGCAAGGUUAACACCUAAGCCAAGAUGAACCCUUAUAUCAUUUCUCACUUAAGG